rnacentral:rRNA from 1 species
AGUGAACGCUGGCGGCAGGCCUAAUACAUGCAAGUCGAACGGCAGCACAGUGGAGCUUGCUCCAUGGGUGGCGAGUGGCGGACGGGUGAGGAAUACAUGGGAAUCUGCCCAGUCGUGGGGGAUAACGUAGGGAAACUUACGCUAAUACCGCAUGCGCCCUUCGGGGGAAAGCCGGGGACCUUCUGGCCUGGCGCGAUUGGAUGAGCCCAUGUUCGAUUAGCUAGUUGGCGGGGUAAAGGCCCACCAAGGCGACGAUCGAUAGCUGGUCUGAGAGGAUGAUCAGCCACACUGGGACUGAGACACGGCCCAGACUCCUACGGGAGGUAGCAGUAGGGAAUAUUGGACAAUGGGCGCAAGCCUGAUCCAGCCAUGCCGCGUGAGUGAAGAAGGCCCUCGGGUUGUAAAGCUCUUUUGUCCGGGAAGAAAAGCAUCGGGCUAAUACCUCGGUGUUCUGACGGUACCGGAAGAAUAAGCACCGGCUAACUUCGUG